rnacentral:rRNA from 1 species
ACUCAAAGGAAUUGACGGGGGCCCGCACAAGCAGUGGAGUAUGUGGUUUAAUUCGAAGCAACGCGAAGAACCUUACCAGGGCUUGACAUCCCUAGAAUUCUGUGGAGACAUAGGAGUGCCUUCGGGAACUAGGUGACAGGUGGUGCAUGGUUGUCGUCAGCUCGUGUCGUGAGAUGUUGGGUUAAGUCCCGCAACGAGCGCAACCCUUGCCUUUAGUUGCUACCAUUCAGUUGAGAACUUUAAAGGGACUGCCGAUGACAAAUCGGAGGAAGGUGGGGACGACGUCAAAUCAUCAUGCCCCUUAUGUCCUGGGCUACACACGUACUACAAUGGCAGUUAACAACGGGAAGCGAAACCGCGAGGUGGAGCGGAGCCCAAAAAGCUGUCUCAGUUCGGAUUGCAGGCUGAAACUCGCCUGCAUGAAGUCGGAAUUGCUAGUAAUCGCGGAUCAGCAUGCCGCGGUGAAUACGUUCCCGGGCCUUGCACACACCGCCCGU